rnacentral:rRNA from 1 species
UGAACGCUGGCGGCGUGCCUAAUACAUGCAAGUCGAGCGAACGGACGAGAAGCUUGCUUCUCUGAUGUUAGCGGCGGACGGGUGAGUAACACGUGGAUAACCUACCUAUAAGACUGGGAUAACUUCGGGAAACCGGAGCUAAUACCGGAUGAUAUUUUGAACCGCAUGGUUCACAAGUGAAAGACGGUCUUGCUGUCACUUAUAGAUGGAUCCGCGCUGCAUUAGCUAGUUGGUAAGGUAACGGCUUACCAAGGCAACGAUGCAUAGCCGACCUGAGAGGGUGAUCGGCCACACUGGAACUGAGACACGGUCCAGACUCCUACGGGAGGCAGCAGUAGGGAAUCUUCCGCAAUGGGCGAAAGCCUGACGGAGCAACGCCGCGUGAGUGAUGAAGGUCUUCGGAUCGUAAAACUCUGUUAUUAGGGAAGAACAUAUGUGUAAGUAACUGUGCACAUCUUGACGGUACCUAAUCAGAAAGCCACGGCUAACUACGUG